AUUGAACGCUGGCGGCAGGCCUAACACAUGCAAGUCGAGCGGAUGAAGGGAGCUUGCUCCUGGAUUCAGCGGCGGACGGGUGAGUAAUGCCUAGGAAUCUGCCUGGUAGUGGGGGAUAACGUCCGGAAACGGGCGCUAAUACCGCAUACGUCCUGAGGGAGAAAGUGGGGGAUCUUCGGACCUCACGCUAUCAGAUGAGCCUAGGUCGGAUUAGCUAGUUGGUGGGGUAAAGGCCUACCAAGGCGACGAUCCGUAACUGGUCUGAGAGGAUGAUCAGUCACACUGGAACUGAGACACGGUCCAGACUCCUACGGGAGGUAGCAGUGGGGAAUAUUGGACAAUGGGCGAAAGCCUGAUCCAGCCAUGCCGCGUGUGUGAAGAAGGUCUUCGGAUUGUAAAGCACUUUAAGUUGGGAGGAAGGGCAGUAAGUUAAUACCUUGCUGUUUUGACGUUACCAACAGAAUAAGCACCGGCUAACUUCGU
rnacentral:rRNA from 1 species